rnacentral:rRNA from 1 species
UACGGGAGGCAGCAGUGGGGAAUAUUGCACAAUGGGCGCAAGCCUGAUGCAGCCAUGCCGCGUGUAUGAAGAAGGCCUUCGGGUUGUAAAGUACUUUCAGCGGGGAGGAAGGCGAUGCGGUUAAUAACCGCGUCGAUUGACGUUACCCGCAGAAGAAGCACCGGCUAACUCCGUGCCAGCAGCCGCGGUAAUACGGAGGGUGCAAGCGUUAAUCGGAAUUACUGGGCGUAAAGCGCACGCAGGCGGUCUGUUAAGUCAGAUGUGAAAUCCCCCGGGCUUAACCUGGGAACUGCAUUUUGAAACUGGCAGGCUUGAGUCUUGUAGAGGGGGUAGAAUUCCAGGUGUAGCGGUGAAAUGCGUAGAGAUCUGGAGGAAUCCGGUGGCGAAGGCGGCCCCUGGGACAAAGACUGACGCUCAGGUGCGAAAGCGUGGGGAGCAAACAGGAUUAGAUACC